rnacentral:rRNA from 1 species
AGAGUUUGAUCCUGGCUCAGAUUGAACGCUGGCGGCAUGCCUUACACAUGCAAGUCGAACGGCAGCACGGGAGCAAUCCUGGUGGCGAGUGGCGAACGGGUGAGUAAUAUAUCGGAACGUGCCCAGUCGUGGGGGAUAACGCAGCGAAAGCUGUGCUAAUACCGCAUACGAUCUCUGGAUGAAAGCGGGGGACUCGUAAGAGCCUCGCGCGAUUGGAACGGCCGAUAUCAGAUUAGCUAGUUGGUGGGGUAAAGGCCCACCAAGGCGACGAUCUGUAGCUGGUCUGAGAGGACGACCAGCCACACUGGAACUGAGACACGGUCCAGACUCCUACGGGAGGCAGCAGUGGGGAAUUUUGGACAAUGGGCGCAAGCCUGAUCCAGCAAUGCCGCGUGCAGGAUGAAGGCCUUCGGGUUGUAAACUGCUUUUGUACGGAACGAAAAGGUCUGCCUUAAUACGGUGGGCCCAUGACGGUACCGUAAGAAUAAGCACCGGCUAACUACGUGCCAGCAGCCGCGGUAAUACGUAGGGUGCGAGCGUUAAUCGGAAUUACUGGGCGUAAAGCGUGCGCAGGCGGUUAUAUAAGACAGAUGUGAAAUCCCCGGGCUCAACCUGNGACCUGCAUUUGUGACUGUAUGGCUAGAGUACG